AUGUGAUUGUGCGCGUAGCAACAUACUGAGGCUCGCGUGCAAGACUCAUUCCUUGUGCUAUGUUUAUUGUUUGCUUGUGCGUGCAAUGCGCACAUGUGCAUUUUAACACAUUUAUGCCUAUCUUACAUAUCUUUGCUCUAACGAGCAACAAACCAACA
rnacentral:misc_RNA from 1 species